UAUAAAACAAAUAAUGAAUGUUUUUAUUCGUGCAUUAAUGGUAAGAAUAUUUUCAUUCGGUGAAAGAUGGAAUGUUCCAUUCAACUCGGCUGUCGCCUCGUUGAAUGGAACAUUCCAUCUUUCACCUCAUGCCAGUGAAAAUAUUCUUACCAUUGCACGAAUAAAAACAUUCAUUAUUUGUAUACUA
rnacentral:miRNA from 1 species